UUUACAACUGUUUGAUUUGUAAGGGCUUCCUUUUCUUUAGACAAUUUAAAUAAGAACUCACAACUUCAGCAAUAUUAUAAAAAAACAGAAGACUCACACUGAGACAUACAUAAAUCCAGAGAAACAGAGAUCUUCUAGUUUUCUGCCUGAGAUUUAAAACAUUUCUUUGAGCCGUUUUUUUUUUUUUUUUUGGCGGGGGAGGCAAGAAUACCGGAGUUGGUUGCCAUUCUUUUUUCCA